rnacentral:rRNA from 1 species
CCCUUAGAUGCUCUGGGCCGCACGCGCGCUACACUGGUCGAUGCAACGAGUUUCUUUCCUUGGCCGACAGGCCUGGGCAAUCUUUGAACAUCGAUCGUGAUCGGGAUAGAUUCUUGUAAUUUUUGAUCUUAAACGAGGAAUUCCUAGUAAACGCAAGUCAUCAGCUUGCAUUGAUUACGUCCCUGCCCUUUGUACACACCGCCCGUCGCACCUACCGAUUGAAUGGUCCGGUGAAAUCUCCGGACUGGCGUGAGUCGGAGCAAGCUGACAAACACCGGAAAGUUGAUUAAACCUUACCAUUUAGAGGAAGGUGAAGUCGUAACA